GGAUGCUAGUGGAACAGCUGUUUUUAAAUUUUAUCUUGUGUUGAAACUUUGCUUCGUUCAGGUUGGGGUGCACUGGUUACCCCACCUGGCUGUGAAAGUUAUGGUCUGUGGGCUGGCAAUGUACAGUCUUUUAAAACGUUUCUUUCCGACCCAGUCUCCCCUUUCCGGUGAGGCUCCAGUAAGGUAUGCUAGAUGUGUGCCUUCUCCUUUGGUGUGGUCUCUUGGGGAACCAGUUGGGAGAAAGGAAAACCAAUAGUGUAACUGUUUGGAUAAUGAAAAUUGAUUAUCUUUUUGAAAUAAAAAGCCUGUCCCCUCCCCCAAAAAGGACAAUAGUAGAAAAGAGGCAAAAUCUAAAUAGAGUCUGGAGUUUAGUUAACAGUAACACACCCGUGUCAGUUUCCUGGUUGGGACAGAUGUGUGAACCAUGGGGAACACUGGAGGGGCUCUGUACCACCUAUACAACCCUCCUGUAACUCUAUUCUAAAAUUUAAAAGUGUCUUUAAGAAAAGAGAGAAAAGCGCCACUCCGUUCUCCAGGGGACCUUCCCAACCCAGGGAUCGGACCCAGGUCUCCUGCAUUGCAGAUUCUUUACUGUCUGGGCCCCCAGAGAAGCCCAACAAAACAUAUGUCUCAUGAGGCUGGGGGGCAGGAGCUGUCUGGCUGGCUCAGCGCUGUAUGCCCAGCUUUGAGCACAGUGCCUGGCACACAGCAGGCCCUCAAGAAAUAUGUUCAACAGACAAUGUCUCCACCACCCCAGCUGAGGGCUGGCCUGUUAACUGGGGCUCCAGAGGCUGCCAGAGCGAGGGAGGGCUGGGCGGCCCCACCUGUCCCCACGGGAGGGCUGCACCCCUCCCCCCAGCAGGGUUUCAGCUGGUCCCCCGGCCCAGGUGUACACAUUUGAAUACUGGCAACGGCCUCUGAGGCCCGGCCUCCUCUCAGGCAACCCGGAGCCCCCUCCCUCAUCUUCCCCGGCAGCAAACUGUAAACACCACUGAGGAGACAGCCUCUGGCAUCGGGAGCGCCCAUGGAGAAGCCCCCCUGCACCAAGGGGAUAACACUCCCCUCCAGGGCAUGCAAGCUGGGUAAGAAAAGCAGCUCUGGCAUCACAGACGAGCGCUCCACCUGCCCGUGGUCUGUGCAACUUUGGCCACACCCCAUCCCCUCUGUGCCCAGCAUGCUCAUCAGGC
rnacentral:lncRNA from 1 species